rnacentral:rRNA from 1 species
CAGUCGCCGCGGUAAUACGUAUGUCGCGAGCGUUAUCCGGAAUUAUUGGGCAUAAAGGGCAUCUAGGCGGCCUGACAAGUCAGGGGUGAAAACCUGCGGCUCAACCGCAGGCCUGCCUUUGAAACUGUGAGGCUGGAGUACCGGAGAGGUGGACGGAACUGCACGAGUAGAGGUGAAAUUCGUAGAUAUGUGCAGGAAUGCCGAUGAUGAAGACAGUUCACUGGACGGUAACUGACGCUGAAGUGCGAAAGCCGGGGGAGCGAACAGGAUUAGAUACCCAGUAGUCCCUGUCUCUUAUACA